rnacentral:lncRNA from 1 species
CCUUUGGAAGCCUCUGGUCCCAUCACACCUGUGACGUGGAAAGCUGAAGAGAAGGAAACUAAAAAAAGACUGAUUUCCUCAGAUUUUUGGAUUGUUGAGAAGCCAGGACUCAGAAGUCCUGGAAAAAUCUUCACAUGAGCAUCUGUUUUAAAACCAGGAACUGAGGUAUUGUGUGAUAAUUCAUACAACACAGACUAAUCACGAGGGCCUUGUCAUUUAAACGCUUCAAUUACUUCUUCUCUGCAAUAGCUUCU